rnacentral:rRNA from 1 species
UACGGAGGGUGCAAGUGUUGUUCGGAUUUACUGGGCGUAAAGGGCGCGUAGGUGGAUAGGUAAGUCAGAUGUGAAAUCCUGAGGCUUAACCUCAGAACUGCAUUUGAUACUGCCUACCUUGAGUGUGGUAGAGGAGAGUGGAAUUCCCGGUGUAGAGGUGAAAUUCGUAGAUAUCGGGAGGAACACCAGUGGCGAAGGCGACUCUCUGGGCCAUUACUGACACUGAGGCGCGAAAGCGUGGGUAG